rnacentral:piRNA from 2 species
UAGAAUUCGUCCGUGUUAAAGUGAUU